GUCUGCGUCGCUUAGUGGUUAAAGCAUCUCGUUGUGGUCUUGUCCCUCAGCGAAUUCCGAGGAGCCGCGUGUUCGAUUCACGCCGCGGACA